GAUGAACGCUGGCGGCGUGCCUAAUACAUGCAAGUCGAGCGAACAGACGAGGAGCUUGCUCCUCUGACGUUAGCGGCGGACGGGUGAGUAACACGUGGAUAACCUACCUAUAAGACUGGGAUAACUUCGGGAAACCGGAGCUAAUACCGGAUAACAUGUUGAACCGCAUGGUUCAACAGUGAAAGACGGUCUUGCUGUCACUUAUAGAUGGAUCCGCGCCGCAUUAGCUAGUUGGUAAGGUAACGGCUUACCAAGGCAACGAUGCGUAGCCGACCUGAGAGGGUGAUCGGCCACACUGGAACUGAGACACGGUCCAGACUCCUACGGGAGGCAGCAGUGGGGAAUCUUCCGCAAUGGGCGAAAUCCUGACGGAGCAACGCCGCGUGAGUGAAGAAGGUCUUCGGAUCGUAAAACUCUGUUAUUAGGGAAGAACAAAUGUGUAAGUAACUAUGCACGUCUUGACGGUACCUAAUCAGAAAGCCACGGCUAACUACGUG
rnacentral:rRNA from 1 species